GACCAGACUCCUACGGGAGGCAGCAGUGGGGAAUAUUGCACAAUGGGGGGAACCCUGAUGCAGCGACGCCGCGUGGGUGAAGGAGCGCCUCGGUGCGUAAAGCCCUAUCGGCAGGGAAGAAACAGACGGUACCUGACUAAGAAGCCCCGGCUAACUACGUGCCAGCAGCCGCGGUAAUACGUAGGGGGCAAGCGUUAUCCGGAUUCACUGGGUGUAAAGGGAGCGUAGACGGCCGUGCAAGCCAGGAGUGAAAGCCCGGGGCCCAACCCCGGGACUGCUCUUGGAACUGUGCGGCUGGAGUGCGGGAGGGGCAGGCGGAAUUCCUAGUGUAGCGGUGAAAUGCGUAGAUAUUAGGAGGAACACCAGUGGCGAAGGCGGCCUGCUGGACGAUGACUGACGUUGAGGCUCGAAAGCGUGGGGAGCAAACAGGAUUAGAUACCCCCGUA
rnacentral:rRNA from 1 species